rnacentral:rRNA from 1 species
UACGAAGGGUGCGAGCGUUAUUCGGAAUCACUGGGCGUAAAGGGUGCGUAGACGGUGUGUUAAGUUUGUCGUUAAAGACUCUAGCCUAACUGGAGGGUUGCGAUGAAAACUAGCAUGCUAGAGGGUGAGAGAGAGAAGUGGAAUUCCCGGAGUAGCGGUAAAAUGCGUGGAUCUCGGGAGGAACACCAAUGGCGAAGGCAGCUUCUUGGCUCAUUCCUGACGUUGAGGCACGAAAGCGUGGGGAGCGAACAGG